GUUUCUGUAGUGUAGUGGUUAUCACGUUCGCUUCACACGCGAAAGGUCCCCGGUUCGAAACCGGGCAGAAACA
rfam:Xenopus tropicalis strain Nigerian Chr03_contig_3064, whole genome shotgun sequence.